GAUGAACGCUAGCUACAGGCUUAACACAUGCAAGUCGAGGGGCAGCAUGAAUUUACUUCGGUAAAUUUGAUGGCGACCGGCGCACGGAUGCGUAACGCGUAUCCAACCUUCCCGUUACUCAGGGAUAGCCUUCCGAAAGGGAGAUUAAUACCUGAUGGUGUUUGAAUUCCGCAUGUUAUUCAAACUAAAGAUUUAUCGGUAACGGAUGGGGAUGCGUGACAUUAAGUAGAUGGCGGGGUAACGGCCCACCAUGCCUACGAUGUCUAGGGGCUCUGAGAGGAAGGUCCCCCACACUGGAACUGAGACACGGCCCAG
rnacentral:rRNA from 1 species